rnacentral:rRNA from 1 species
CCUACGGGAGGCAGCAGUGAGGAAUAUUGGUCAAUGGGCGAGAGCCUGAACCAGCCAAGUCGCGUGAGGGAAGACGGUCCUAUGGAUUGUAAACCUCUUUUGCCGGGGAGCAAAACGCGGUACGUGUACCGCAUCGAGAGUACCCGGAGAAAAAGCAUCGGCUAACUCCGUGCCAGCAGCCGCGGUAAUACGGAGGAUGCGAGCGUUAUCCGGAUUUAUUGGGUUUAAAGGGUGCGCAGGCGGCGAGUUAAGUCAGCGGUAAAAUUUCGGGGCUCAACCCCGACAAGCCGUUGAAACUGGCGUGCUAGAGUGGGCGAGAAGUAUGCGGAAUGCGUGGUGUAGCGGUGAAAUGCAUAGAUAUCACGCAGAACUCCGAUUGCGAAGGCAGCAUACCGGCGCCCAACUGACGCUCAGGCACGAAAGCGUGGGUAUCGAACAGGAUUAGAUACCCCAGUAGUC